UACGUAGGUGGCAAGCGUUGUCCGGAAUUACUGGGUGUAAAGCGCGUGUAGGCGGGCGGCCACGUCUGCUGUGAAAUCGCCCGGCUCAACUGGGCGGGGUCGGUGGAAACUGGUCACCUGGAGGACGGUAGAGGCGAGUGGAAUUCCCGGUGUAGUGGUGAAAUGCGUAGAGAUCGGGAGGAACGCCAGUGGCGAAGGCGGCUCGCUGGGCCGGACCUGACGCUGAGACGCGAAAGCUAGGGGAGCGAACGGG
rnacentral:rRNA from 1 species